rnacentral:rRNA from 1 species
UACGUAGGGUGCAAGCGUUAAUCGGAAUUACUGGGCGUAAAGCGUGCGCAGGCGGUUCUAUAAGACAGAUGUGAAAUCCCCGGGCUCAACCUGGGAACUGCAUUUGUGACUGUAGAGCUGGAGUACGGUAGAGGGGGAUGGAAUUCCGCGUGUAGCAGUGAAGUGCGUAGAUAUGCGGAGGAACACCGAUGGCGAAGGCAAUCCCCUGGACCUGUACUGACGCUCAUGCACGAAAGCGUGGGGAGCAAACAGG